rnacentral:rRNA from 1 species
UACGUAGGGUGCAAGCGUUAAUCGGAAUUACUGGGCGUAAAGCGUGCGCAGGCGGUUAUGUAAGACAGGUGUGAAAUCCCCGGGCUUAACCUGGGAACUGCAUUUGUGACUGCAUAGCUAGAGUACGGUAGAGGGGGAUGGAAUUCCGCGUGUAGCAGUGAAAUGCGUAGAUAUGCGGAGGAACACCGAUGGCGAAGGCAAUCCCCUGGACCUGUACUGACGCUCAUGCACGAAAGCGUGGGGAGCAACAGG